AACGAACGCUGGCGGCAGGCUUAACACAUGCAAGUCGAACGCCCCGCAAGGGGAGUGGCAGACGGGUGAGUAACGCGUGGGAAUCUACCGUACCCUACGGAACAACAGUUGGAAACGACUGCUAAUACCGUAUACGCCCUACGGGGGAAAGAUUUAUCGGGGUAUGAUGAGCCCGCGUUGGAUUAGCUAGUUGGUGGGGUAAAGGCCUACCAAGGCGACGAUCCAUAGCUGGUCUGAGAGGAUGAUCAGCCACAUUGGGACUGAGACACGGCCCAAACUCCUACGGGAGGCAGCAGUGGGGAAUAUUGGACAAUGGGCGCAAGCCUGAUCCAGCCAUGCCGCGUGAGUGAUGAAGGUCUUAGGAUUGUAAAGCUCUUUCACCGAUGAAGAUAAUGACGGUAGUCGGAGAAGAAGCCCCGGCUAACUUCGUGCCAGCCGCCGCCGUAAUAC
rnacentral:rRNA from 1 species